rnacentral:rRNA from 1 species
CAGCUCACUGACUGAUCCUGAAGCUGAGGCACGAAAGCGUAGGGUAGCGAACCGGAUUAGAUACCCGGGUAGUUACGCCGUAAACGAUGGAUGCUAGCUGUCGGGGAGUAUCGACCCUCCUCGGUAGCAAAGCUAACGCGUUAAGCAUCCCGCCUGGGGAGUACGGCCGCAAGGCUAAAACUCAAAGGAAUUGACGGGAACCCGCACAAGCGGUGGAGCGUGUGGUUUAAUUCGAGGCUACGCGAAGAACCUUACCCAGACUCGACAUCCUGGUCGCAAUUCUUAGAGAUAAGAGUGUCAUUUAGUUGGACCAGUGACAGGUGAUGCAUGGCCGUCGUCAGCUCGUGUCGUGAGAUGUUAGGUUAAGUCCUUUAACGAGCGCAACCCUCGUGAUUAGUUGGAUUUUUCUAAUCAGACUGCCUCGGUAACGGGGAGGAAGGAGGGGACGACGUCUGGUCAGCAUGUCCCUUACGUCUGGGGCUACACACACGCUACAAUGGCCGGUACAACGGGAAGCCAAGUCGCGAGACGGAGCUAAACCCAUCAAAACCGGUCCCAGUUCGGAUUGGAGGCUGCAACUCGCCUUCAUGAAGUCGGAAUCGCUAGUAACCGUGGGUCAGCACACCGCGGUGAAUACGUUCCCGGGUUUUGUACACACCGCCCGUCACAUCACGAAAGCUACCAACAUUCGAAGUUCCCGUUUUAAACGGGACCCAAGAUGGGGGUAGUGAUUGGGGUGAAGUCGUAACAAGGUAACC